rnacentral:rRNA from 1 species
CAGUAGCCGCGGUAAUACAGAGGAUACAAGCGUUAUCCGGAAUGAUUGGGCGUAAAGGGCUCGCAGGCGGUUUCUUAAGUCUGAUGUGAAAGCCCCCGGCUCAACCGGGGAGGGUCAUUGGAAACUGGGAAACUUGAGUGCAGAAGAGGAGAGUGGAAUUCUACGUGUAGCGGUGAAAUGCGUAGAGAUGUGGAGGAACACCAGUGGCGAAGGCGACUCUCUGGUCUGUAACUGACGCUGAGGAGCGAAAGCGUGGGGAGCGAACAGGAUUAGAUACCCCUGUAGUCCCUGUCUCUUAUAC